GAAGGUUUCAUACGGGAAGUGACAUGUUAAGAUCUGGAUCUUAAAGAACUUGGGGGUAAGUCUGUGAGGAUCCAGAACGGCAGCUGGUCCUUGCUGGACUGUUCCUGUCCAUGUGCCUGGUCAUGGUGCUGGGGAACCUGCUCAUCAUCCGGCCAUGAGCCCUGACUCCCACCUCCACACCUCCAUGUACUUCUUCCUCUCCAACCUGUCCUUGCCUGACAUCGGUUUCA
ensembl:lncRNA OR7E47P olfactory receptor family 7 subfamily E member 47 pseudogene